AUGCUAUAACCUGUCCACCUUACCCAUCUGGCCACUCUUACAUUCUCCUUCAAAUGCUCCAUUCACAAAACCUUCUCUUCUUUUUUUUAGGUUGGAACUUCAAUGCAGAGGGUUGAAGUGAUCAUAUCAUUUGAAGACUAACCCUGCUUAUUCCUGUGAAUCAAGUGGUGAUCUUCUGCAGUUUGGAAGAAACAAAAAGGAAUGGGUAAUGUAAAAAUCUGGAUCAGUAUGCUAGUUCUGGGCAAUUAUCCUGUAAAUUCUGCCAGGCAAUGAAAGUGAGUAGGGUGCCUGUAACCCAGAGGUUUCUUUGUUGAGGGAAAUAGAAUGAAGAAACUUCAUGGAUCCCCUAAAAGGAAAUUCUAUAUCUUAGCAAGUAUAAUUUUAGAUGGAAAUUAUCCACCACACCACACUUGCAGGAAUUGCUAUAGUCUCUGUACUAUUUGUAGUAGAGCUAUAUAUGGUGGCACAUUCUAACUGAAAUAUUGGACAGAGAGUUUCCAUCAUUGUAAUAUUUUGCUUAAUUAUUAUCCUUAGAGCAGGGUUAAUAGCCACCAACAAAAAAGAAGCAUGAGAGUUUUACUAUCACUGAGUUUGCUAGACCUUCUUAUUGAGUUUGGUAAUAUGUCACACCCUGGCUAUGAAAAGAAGGUUCAGGAAAAAUCUAGCUGAGGCUAACACUAAAGUUACUCUAGCCACUCAAAUCCAAUGUCACUAAUCCUAAAAGGAAUGUUACUUUAUAUUGUUUCUAGUAAUGUACAGCAAUAUCUAGUGGAAGGAAACAGGUAUUACAAUCCAAUGGUGUAACUAAUAGGUAUCAAACUCUUCUGUCAGUUAUGGUCUGUAGGACCCCCAUUAACAGUGGUAGUCUUAAUGCUCAUAUUGUGACCCUAUAUUUUAAACCUUCUUGUAAAAUUUAUCUCUUUUCACCUAGAAGCAAUCUAAUCCCAAACAGUGCUGUGAGCAGAGCCACACAUGGACACGCCAUUCUUCCGAGAACCCUUACAUCAACCUCAGGAAACGGUCCAACAGCUGUCCCUCCAGAUGACACCCCUUUUCAGCAGGAAGUAGUCAGAAAUAAUCGUCAUCCAACACCCCCUAACAGCAGUUAGGUUUACUUCUCUUGAGGGAGGAAUAAUACAGGAGUUAUUAAGAAAUUAUGUUAGGGAGAUAGGGUAAGGAGCCCUCAGAAAGGCUUUUCCCUUGAAAAGAGUCAGCUCCUGAAACAUUUCUUUUCUAAUAGAAAGGUGUGUUGAAAAGCCAGCCUGGCAAGCUUUGAUAUGUGAAUGCCAGCAAUUAGAAACUGGGUCCAUCCAACAUAGUGAUUCUCACCCUCUUUGUCACCUUAUGUGCCAGGUGUCAUGGCCGCCUCCAGAUGACUCCACAUGUGCAGGAUGUCAUGGUGACCUGCAUUUCCGUAUUAAAACGCUAGGGUGGGAGGGCCAGGUUUUUCAUGGGCUGUGUGAAUGACACACCUGGUCAAACCAAUCCCCUAGGCCCUAUGCAAAUCAGACACCACCUCCAGCCUCCCAGUAUAACUGGCUACUUUUCUGCUGCAUACGGGGUUUUUCUCUGUUAGGAGCCCGCCUCCCUCUCUAUACGGGGAUACUUUCUUCUUUCUUGCCUAUUAAACUUUCCCCUCCUUUAAACCACUCCACGUGUAUCCGUGUCAUUUAUCUAACUGGUGCAAGACAAAGGACCCUGUUGUUUCUCUAGUUAUCAAAGACAUAUCAGGAAGAUUCUGAGGAUGUGUUUUCAUAGGACACCUGUCCAUAUUUGGAAAGAAGUUUAUGAAUUUCAAGUUUGGAAUGAUCUGGUAACCUGUCUCUACCGGCCUCAUCCCAGCAGUCUUCACUUUCAACACUCACAGAGAGGCUGUCCAGGGUGAAGAAGGACGUGUUUGCUUCACCUUCCAC